ACAUGUGACGGGGUUAAUGCUCAUGUUUACAUGGGCUUGGCAGUUUAAAUACCUUGAGAAUAAGUGGUGGGUAAGACUGGUGCCAGCAGCCGCGGUAACCCCAGCGCCACAAGUAGGGACCACAUUUAUUGGGCCUAAAGCGUCCGUAGCUGGCUGUGUAAAUCUCUUGUGAAAUUGUUAAACUUAAUUUAACAGAUGGCAGGAGACACUGCAUUGCUCGAGACUGGGAGGGGUAUGGAGUAUUCCAGGGGAACCGGUAAAAUGGGAUAAUCCUUGGAGGACUACCUGUGGCGAAGGCGCCAUACCAGAACAGAUCUGACAGUGAGGGACGAAGGCUAGGGGAGCGAACCGGAUUAGAUACCCGAGUAGUCCUAGCAGUAAACUCUGCGAGUUAGGUGUUACGUAACUUAUGUGGUUACGUAGUGUCGUAGUGAAGACGUUAAACUCGCCGCCUGGGAAGUAUGGUCGCAAGGCUGAAACUUAAAGGAAUUGGCGGGGGAGCACCACAAGGGGUGCGGCGUGCGGUUUAAUCCAACUCAACGCGGAGAAUCUCACCAGAGGCGACGGCAGUAUGAAGGUCACGUCUAAGGGCUUACCCAACGAGCCGAGAGGUGGUGCAUGGCCGUCGUCAGCUCGUGCCGUAAGGUGUCCAGUUAAGUCUGGUAACGAGCGAGACCCGUACUCACAAUUGCUAACGUGUUCUUUAGAAUUGAACGAGCACAAUGUGAGGACUGCUUGGAAACAAGGAGGAAGGUGCAGGCUACGAUAGGUCUGUAUGCCCCGAAUCUUCUGGGCUACACGCGCGCAACAAUGUAUGAGGAUGGAAACUCCGAAAGGAGAAGCUAACCUCUAACAUAUCUAGUCAGAUGAGGCUAACUCGCCGUCAGACGUCGAACCUAUCACGUCA
rnacentral:rRNA from 1 species